rnacentral:lncRNA from 1 species
AGCUGGGUGUGAGUCCGCGGAGCUGAGAGCCUUGCCCUCUGCUCCAUCCUCCUCUUUUGGGGGUCUCCGCGGUGUCAGGACUUGGAGAGCCUGGUCGUGGGACUUGAUCAGAGAGGCCUUGAGUGCAGUGGGUGCUUAUCUGGUGACUGUGGCCCUGAGGUCUGGGACAGACACUGCCAGUCUUUCUGGGCCACACCCACGGGGACUGCCAGCCCCCCUGGGCUUGGCACAGUGGAGGGGAGCCUCCACCACAGUGGAGGAGAGACACACCCAAGGCCCUGGAUGUGCCCGGCUCUCUGCAGCUGUGGGUGCCUCAGGCCGGCCGCCGAUGGGUCUCAGUUUCUGAGGGGGUGGCAGUGAAGUUGCAGAGAAGAAACCUAUGAAGGUGCCCUGUCAACUGCCACACGCCGAGAUGCACAUUGACAGCCCAUCACCGCCUCUUGCCUGUCCUCCCCGGGGACCGGCAGAUCAUGGGAGAUGAUUUGUCAAGGGGAGACACAUUUGGGUGACACCAAGCCGAGCUUCCUGUCUUGAGACGCUUUCUGCUUUCUCAUCUUCCUGCUAAUGAGUUGCCUUUUGUGUGUAUCCCACUUCCUGUCCCACCCAGCCCCAAAUGUCCGUGGAACCGGCCCCACUAACCUGCAUCCAGCUGCCUCUUCCACCUGGGCCCUGCUCUCAGAUGGAAGUGUCACCAAACACCCAGAUCGCCGUGCUCCUGCUUCUCUGGAGUGGACACAACCUGAAAACCAACUGGACUGAGCAUCCUUCUCCUAAAAUCUCAGCCAGAAGCCACGAUGGAGGGUCCUGGGAAGGGAAGAGAUGUGAAGAUUUCUGUGAUUCUAAAACCUUGGGUCUGCCUGCAAACUUCUCUCUGAUCCCAGCCGAGAGCUGUGCACACGCUAGCUAGCCCUGUCACACAAUAGCCCAGUGUUCCCGUCACAGUGCCUGGGAAUGAGAGGCUUUUGAGGCCACAGAGCUAUGACAAGUCCCCAGGUUGAAUUGACUCUGGGAGGACAAAUUUCUGAGAGACUCACGGGACCCUUAUCCAGGACAACCUCACAAAGAUCCCUGAAACUGAGCUUCCUCUGCUUCGUGCAUAGUUUGAGGUAUAAACUUUCCUUGUGUCUCGGUCAGAUGAAGUGAAGGAUGAAUAUUAUCCCAGGCUAAAGUAACGAAAAGUCCAGAAGCCAGCGAUGACAGAGAUGUGUGUGGAAGAAGGCUGUGAGCAUUUCCAUCAAACCCUGUGAGUUUCCGAAGAUCUUAUCCCGAAGAUAUGUGUUUGGCCAAUAAAACACUGAAUAAAAAUCCA